GACGGGGGGGCAAGUGUUCUUCGGAAUGACUGGGCGUAAAGGGCAACGUAGGCGGUGAAUCGGGUUGAAAGUUGAAAGUCGCCAAAAAGUGGCGGAAUGCUCUCGAAACCAAUUCACUUGAGUGAGACAGAGGAGAGUGGAAUUUCGUGUGGUAGGGGUGAAAGUCCGAUUCGAGAUCGUACGAAGGAACGCCAAAAGCGAAGGC
rnacentral:rRNA from 1 species